AAAUAUUUCACAAUCCAAUGCAU
rnacentral:snRNA from 1 species